UACGAGGGGGGCAAGCGUUGUUCGGAAUUAUUGGGCGUAAAGGGUGCGUAGGCGGUUUGACAAGUCUUAUGUGAAAUCUUCGGGCUCAACCCGAAGUCUGCAUGGGAAACUGUCGGGCUUGAGUAUGGGAGAGGUGAGUGGAAUUUCCGGUGUAGCGGUGAAAUGCGUAGAUAUCGGAAGGAACACCUGUGGCGAAAGCGGCUCACUGGACCAUAACUGACGCUGAGGCACGAAAGCUAGGGGAGCAAACAG
rnacentral:rRNA from 1 species